GCUAGGUGGUUGCAGAAUAAAAAUAUACACUUGCUUUUGUCUUAUUUAAGCUUCCCGGAACAUGAGGAGAGGUGGUGUUUUCUACCCUGUAGACAUGACUGCUUGCCCCAAGUAAACAAAGCUUGAAAUACCCAGAAGGAUGGAGCAUGGAAGAGCUGGGACUGAGCUGGCUUAGGAAAGAAGACACAGCCAGGAAGGCAUGGGGACAGCAGCUGACUCGUGUGCUGGCCACCGAGAGCCAGGUCAGUAGCUGUGCCCUUUGGGAGGUCAGAGGUCACUGAAUCGAUGCAACCACGGGAAGAAAGAUGAGACAGUCUUCAACCCAGGGAAGACAUGAACUGGGCUACCAGAGGCUCAUGGACUCUUGUGUGUCUAAAUGUCACUCUUGCUGGAGCAGAAGGAGCCAGAGGACACUGCAAGCAUGCACUUAUGGACGUCUGCCCACUCCCCUGGUCACCAUCCCUGUCCUGCCUCCUGAGCUGGACACCUAGCAUCCUCUUUGUUGCCCCUCCAUGGUUGCCUUCCUCAGCUGUCAGAGCUGUUCUCACCUGUGUAUGACACUCUAGCCUUGUUUCAUGGAUACCGCUGGCUCCCUCCAAAACUUUAUAGCCCUCCCAGCCCUGUCAGCUACCGUAGAGCAUCAGGAGGGUUGUGAACAGCAGUCAAGGUGCAGUAAAACCCACACAGGCUUCAACCCUGACUCUGACCCCAUCUGCACUGGCCAGAGCCUCUGACAUUCACCCUCACUGCUGCCUUCUGUGCAGUGUGACAUGCUGACCUCACAAAGAUGUCCUCACCCAGCAGCCUGGGAGGCUGAUAGGAAGAUCGCAUAUUGAUGAGGCUGUUGUCAGGGAGCUAGUAGCAGAGAACUUCCACAAGAGAGCUCAGCUCCCAAGCGCCUGAAGAUUGGAACUGAACCCAGUGACAGCCCAGCACACAACCUCUGGGGUCCUCCACCCAGGACCCUCUUCUACCUCCUAUAGUUCCAAAAGAUUGGAUGAUGCAAGAACUGGAAUGAAGUUGAUUCAGAAGCAAACACAGCUUUGUAAUGUAUCUAAGACAGCACAGGUGCUGGCCAAUUACAAUUGUACGGGUGCUCAAAAUCUGCAUGGAAUUCUUAGUGCAUAUUCAGUGCCAGGCUAAGCAUUUGAAAUGCAGGAACUCACUCAGUCCUCCUGCAAGCUCUUCACGUCAACACCACUAGACGAUUACAGGGUC